rnacentral:rRNA from 1 species
UGCGUAGACGGUUAUGUAAGUCGGGUGUGAAAGCCCCGGGCUCAACCUGGGAAUUGCAUUCGAGACUGCAUAGCUAGGGUGCGGAAGAGGGAAGCGGAAUUUCCGGUGUAGCGGUGAAAUGCGUAGAUAUCGGAAGGAACACCAGUGGCGAAAGCGGCUUCCUGGUCCAGCACCGACGUUCAGGCACGAAAGCGUGGGGAGCAAACAGGAUUAGAUACCCUGGUAGUCCACGCCAUAAACGAUGACAACUAGACGUUGAGAGGGUAAGCCUCCCAGUGUCGAAGCUAACGCGAUAAGUUGUCCGCCUGGGGAGUACGGCCGCAAGGUUGAA